UACAGAGAACCCCGUAUAACCCAAACUGUUAACCUUCAAUACUGCUUUGUACUUACGAUCUUGUAUCCACUGACUGUCUUGUUAGAUUAACCCAAUAAAUUUCAUUCACUCCGCAUACUCAAUCCUAUAGACACCCUUUUAAUCCUUCAAUCACAGACGUAACUCGAUUUCACAAAAUAGUCAAGAGUAUUCAAACCCACUUCAUUUAAAAAUCCCGAUUCACCAUUACAACACUGACUUCAACAGCGAUUGCCUCAGUCUUCCCCAAAACUCUACGAAGAAGAAAAAU
rnacentral:lncRNA from 1 species